AGUGAACGCUGGCGGUAGGCCUAACACAUGCAAGUCGAACGGCAGCACAGUAAGAGCCUGCUCUUACGGGUGGCGAGUGGCGGACGGGUGAGGAAUACAUCGGAAUCUACUUUUUCGUGGGGGAUAACGUAGGGAAACUUACGCUAAUACCGCAUACGACCUACGGGUGAAAGCAGGGGAUCUUCGGACCUUGCGCGAUUGAAUGAGCCGAUGUCGGAUUAGCUAGUUGGCGGGGUAAAGGCCCACCAAGGCGACGAUCCGUAGCUGGUCUGAGAGGAUGAAAGGCACAAGUGGAACUAAGAGAGGGCCCGGACCCCUAGGGGAGGCAGAGGUGGGGAUUUUUGAAGAAUGGCGCCAAGCCUGAACCACCAAUACCGGGGGGAUAAAGAAGGCCUUCGGUUUGAAACCCCUUUUUGUGGGAAAAAAAAAACAGCGGUUAAAUACCCCCCUGUCCGGGGGAUACCAAAAAAAAAACCCCGGACUAGCUUGGUG
rnacentral:rRNA from 1 species